rfam:Myotis brandtii contig305310, whole genome shotgun sequence.
AGCAUAGUUCUCUGGUGACACACCCUGGAAUCGGGCUCCCUCCUCUCUGGUUCCGGGGUGCAUCACCUGAGAACUGCC